rnacentral:rRNA from 1 species
GAUCCUGGCUCAGAACGAACGCUGGCGGCAUGGAUUAGGCAUGCAAGUCGAACGAAGCAGCAAUGCUUAGUGGCGCAAGGGUGAGGAACACGUGAGUGACCUACCCGCAAGUUUGGAACAGCUCCUGGAAACGGGAAUUAAUACCGGAUGUGAUCAUGAAGCUGCAUGGUUUCAUGAUUAAAGCAGUAAUGCGCUUGCGGAUGGGCUCGCGUCCCAUUAGCUAGUUGGUGAGGUAACGGCCCACCAAGGCCAUGAUGGGUAGCUGGUCUGAGAGGACGACCAGCCACACUGGGACUGAGAACUGCCCAGACUCCUACGGGAGGCUGCAGUCGAGAAUUUUGGGCAAUGGACGAAAGUCUGACCCAGCAAUGCCGCGUGCGGGAUGAAGGUCUUCGGAUUGUAAACCGCUGUUUGGAGGGACGAAAAUUGACGGUACUUCCAGAGGAAGCCACGGCUAACUACGUGCCAGCAGCGGC